rnacentral:rRNA from 1 species
AGGGCACCACCAGGAGUGGAGCCUGCGGCUUAAUUUGACUCAACACGGGAAAACUCACCCGGCCCGGACACUGGAAGGAUUGACAGAUUGAGAGCUCUUUCUUGAUUCAGUGGGCGGUGGUGCAUGGCCGUUCUUAGUUGGUGGAGUGAUUUGUCUGGUUAAUUCCGAUAACGAACGAGACUCUAGCCUACUAAAUAGAUCGUCGGCUUACAAACGCCGGCGAGACUUCUUAGAGGGACAGGCGGUGAUUCAACCGCACGAAACAGAGCAAUAACAGGUCUGUGAUGCCCUUAGAUGUCCGGGGCCGCACGCGCGCUACACUGAAGUGAUCAGCGUGCUUUUUCAACCUACUCUGUCAAGAGUGGGGAACCCAAUGAACCUUCUUCGUGAUUGGGAUAGGGGAUUGUAAUUAUUCCCCUUGAACGAGGAAUUCCCAGUAAGCGCGAGUCAUAAGCUCGCGUUGAUUACGUCUCCGCCCCUUGUACACACCGCCCGUCUCUACUACCCAUUGAAUGUGUU